rnacentral:lncRNA from 1 species
ACCAUACCAAAAAAUUUAUACUCCCACCCAUAUUGAAAAAGAUUCGUGCAUUAAGGAACACCACAGAGUAUGGAACCCAAAAAAAACUAACAACAAGCGACAACGACAGAUGGCUGCCUUAUUGUGUUGGAAGUGGGUGGCAUGAGCUGUCGCAUGGAUGCACGAAACAGUCCCGACCAUGCACAUCUAUCCGAGAAACAUUGGGUCACAACAAGGGUGUUGGUACCUGGACCAACGACGCAAUCACGUUGAGAAGUGUGCAAUCCAACUUCUCGUGGCCAUCCUCGAGCACUGCCUCGACACACUCCUCUAAACCCACCAUGUGUUCCGAACGACAUCCUCCCCGAUUCCCCAGCGCGACGGCUGACCACCAUAACUUCUCUAGAACGAACCUGUCCAAAGGCGCUGCCGACAACGUCAUCCCUGUGGCGCUACUCCUUUCUUCUCGUGCCUCUUGCCCCAUUCACCUCCUCCUUCCUAUGAAGUUUUAGUAACAAUGUACAUUUCAGUAAUCAGUAAAAAAAUGCAGAUUUUAGUACAAGAAAAAUGAGUAUCUUGACAAAGUUUUCGUAGAAAUCAAAUUACCGUACAAUACAAUAUUUUAGUACCUACUAAAAUAAUAGUACAAGGGCAAUCAUCCGAAUAAUAUCAUCAGAAGUAUGAAACUGAACCUUUAUUUGCACCAGGUGACUACCCUUGUCAUCUCAAGAUCCAAGCCUCUCCUCUUGUCCUCUUCUCCAAGCAUGCAGUGAAAACUGCUAAAAAAAAUUAAAUGCAGAUGUACAUUUGUGAGAAGAAAUAGUGGAUCUCAAACCAACCUUCAUUAAUAGAUCUGUUUUGAACUAUAUGGUCGAUUAUGUACAUGGUCCAGAUUGGGUCAUAAUGAAAACUUAAAUAUUGGGUUAGCCUUUGCCAUAUGUUUUUUGAAGAAGAAAAUCAUAAGCAUCAGCACCUACUACGUGGAAGACAAAUCCCUUUAGAAAAGUUUGGCAUGUAAUUAUGAUAUUAUCCUAGCUUCUUUAUGAUUCAGAAUUCAAUAGUAUUCAUGCCAAUAUGAAUAGCAUCUACCUAGAUAAAUACCUGGACCAAAACUCAAUGAAGAAUAACAUUAGUGCAAACUAAACAUGAAAAUUUUGAACUCCCUGACUUUAUGUCAGUACAGUAGUAAUAGUAGUACAAGCG